UACGUAGGGUGCAAGCGUUAAUCGGAAUUACUGGGCGUAAAGCGUGCGCAGGCGGUUUUGUAAGACAGCUGUGAAAUGCCCGGGCUUAACCUGGGAACUGCAUUUGUGACUGCAAGGCUAGAGUUUGGCAGAGGGGGGUAGAAUUCCACGUGUAGCAGUGAAAUGCGUAGAUAUGUGGAGGAAUACCGAUGGCGAAGGCAGCCCCCUGGGUCAAGACUGACGCUCAUGCACGAAAGCGUGGGGAGCAAACAGG
rnacentral:rRNA from 1 species